AGUGAACGCUGGCGGUAGGCCUAACACAUGCAAGUCGAACGGCAGCACAGUAAGAGCUUGCUCUUACGGGUGGCGAGUGGCGGACGGGUGAGGAAUACAUCGGAAUCUACUUUUUCGUGGGGGAUAACGUAGGGAAACUUACGCUAAUACCGCAUGCGACCUACGGGUGAAAGCAGGGGAUCUUCGGACCUUGCGCGAUUGAAUGAGCCGAUGUCGGAUUAGCUGGUUGGCGGGGUAAAGGCCCACCAAGGCGACGAUCCGUAGCUGGUCUGAGAGGAUGAUCAGCCACACUGGAACUGAGACACGGUCCAGACUCCUACGGGAGGCAGCAGUGGGGAAUAUUGGACAAUGGGCGCAAGCCUGAUCCAGCCAUACCGCGUGGGUGAAGAAGGCCUUCGGGUUGUAAAGCCCUUUUGUUGGGAAAGAAAAGCAGCAGGUUAAUACCCCGCUGUUCUGACGGUACCCAAAGAAUAAGCACCGGCUAACUUCGUG
rnacentral:rRNA from 1 species